rnacentral:rRNA from 1 species
AACGAACGCUGGCGGCAUGCCUAACACAUGCAAGUCGAACGAGACCUUCGGGUCUAGUGGCGCACGGGUGCGUAACGCGUGGGAACCUGCCUUUAGGUUCGGAAUAACAGUGAGAAAUUACUGCUAAUACCGGAUGAUGUCUUCGGACCAAAGAUUUAUCGCCUUUAGAUGGGCCCGCGUUGGAUUAGCUAGUUGGUGGGGUAAAGGCCUACCAAGGCGACGAUCCAUAGCUGGUCUGAGAGGAUGAUCAGCCACACUGGGACUGAGACACGGCCCAGACUCCUACGGGAGGCAGCAGUGGGGAAUAUUGGACAAUGGGCGAAAGCCUGAUCCAGCAAUGCCGCGUGAGUGAUGAAGGCCUUAGGGUUGUAAAGCUCUUUACCCGUAGAUGAUAAUGACAGUAUCGGGAGAAUAAGCUCCGGCUAACUCCGUG